AGAAAUUGUUCUAAUUCUUCAAAUGGUUUCUUGUUCUACAUAGAGAAACAGAGAAUCGAUAAUAUUUAAUGCGAACCCGGUAUUCCUGAAUUUUGACCCCACUGGCCCCCCAAUUUUGGGGGGCAUCCUUGUGGAGGUCUUUUCAACCUUGACCUCCCCCGGGGGGAAGUGGGUUGGGGCCCGGCAGCCACCGGCGGCCCUUAAAAGGAGUGGCGCCCGUCCGGGGGACCUUUGCGUAGUAUACAGCUCGCACCGGAACCCCGACGGGGCCACGCCGUAAAACACCCAAUUUCUGAACGUUGCCUCGAAUCAGGUAGGAUACCCGCUGAACUUAAGAUAUCAAUAACGGAGGAAAGAAACCAACAGGGAUUGCCCCAGUAACGGCGAGUGAAGCGGCAACAGCUCAAAUUUGAAAUCUGGCUCUCAGGGCCCGAGUUGUAAUUUGUAGAGGAUGCUUUUGGCGAGGUGCCUUCCGAGUUCCCUGGAACGGGACGCCACAGAGGGUGAGAGCCCCGUAUGGUCGGACACCGAGCCUCUGUAAAGCUCCUUCGACGAGUCGAGUAGUUUGGGAAUGCUGCUCAAAAUGGGAGGUAUAUGUCUUCUAAAGCUAAAUAUUGGCCAGAGACCGAUAGCGCACAAGUAGAGUGAUCGAAAGAUGAAAAGCACUUUGAAAAGAGGGUUAAAAAGUACGUGAAAUUGUUGAAAGGGAAGCGCCUAUGACCAGACUUGCGCCCGGUGAAUCACCCAGCGUUCUCGCUGGUGCACUUUGCCGGGCACAGGCCAGCAUCAGUUCAGCGCGGGGGAGAAAGGCUUCGGGAAUGUGGCUCCCUCGGGAGUGUUAUAGCCCGCUGCGUAAUGCCCUGCGCCGGACUGAGGUACGCGCAUUGCAAGGAUGCUGGCGUAAUGGUCAUCAGCGACCCGUCUUGAAACACGGACCAAGGAGUCGUCUUCGUAUGCGAGUGUUCGGGUGUCAAACCCCUACGCGUAAUGAAAGUGAACGUAGGUGAGAGCUUCGGCGCAUCACCGACCGAUCCUGAUGUUCUCGGAUGGAUUUGAGUAAGAGCAUACGGGGCCGGACCCGAAAGAAGGUGAACUAUGCCUGUAUAGGGUGAAGCCAGAGGAAACUCUGGUGGAGGCUCGCAGCGGUUCUGACGUGCGAAUCGAUCGUCAAAUAUGGGCAUGGGGGCGAAAGACUAAUCGAACCUUCUAGUAGCUGGUUUCCGCCGAAGUUUCCCUCAGGAUAGCAGUGUUGAACUCAGUUUUAUGAGGUAAAGCGAAUGAUUAGGGACUCGGGGGCGCUAUAUUGCCUUCAUCCAUUCUCAAACUUUAAAUAUGUAAGAAGCCCUUGUUACUUGAUUGAACGUGGGCAUUCGAAUGUAUCAACACUAGGUGGCCAUGUU
rnacentral:rRNA from 1 species